GUUGUUGUUUAUUCUUUUUCUAUUAUACAUUAUUGUUAUUUUCAGAGUAUUCUUGUACUCCAUUAGGAUUAUAGGCUGGUACUGGUGGGGGAGUAUCAUCAUCAUCAUCACUAGCUCUAAGAAAACUGUACUGACCUAGUGAAUAUUGUAUUAAUAAUAAUAAUGUAUAUAUAAUUACUGAGUCUAUACUCAAUACUGAUCACUAUAAAGCUGAGCAUGUACUUAAGCACAUUGCCUAUCAUGUCCUCUUGUCUAUCAUGUGCUAGUUCAUUGUAUCUUACAGUAAAACAUA